GUGGGGAAUAUUGGACAAUGGGCGCAAGCCUGAUCCAGCCAUGCCGCGUGUGUGAAGAAGGCCUUCGGGUUGUAAAGCACUUUUGUCCGGGAAGAAAUCUUCCAGGUUAAUACCCUGGGAGGCUGACGGUACCGGAAGAAUAAGCACCGGCUAACUUCGUGCCAGCAGCCGCGGUAAUACGAAGGGUGCAAGCGUUACUCGGAAUUACUGGGCGUAAAGCGUGCGUAGGUGGUUCGUUAAGUCUGCCGUGAAAGCCCCGGGCUCAACCUGGGAGUGGCGGUGGAUACUGGCGGGCUAGAGUGCGGUAGAGGGUGGUGGAAUUCCCGGUGUAGCAGUGAAAUGCGUAGAGAUCGGGAGGAACAUCUGUGGCGAAGGCGGCCACCUGGACCAGCACUGACACUGAGGCACGAAAGCGUGGGGAGCAAACAGGAUUAGAAACCCCGGUAGUCC
rnacentral:rRNA from 1 species